rnacentral:rRNA from 1 species
CUACUGCUAAUACCGGAUAUGCCGGAAAGGUGAAAGAUUUAUUGCCUGGAGAUGAGCUCGCGUCUGAUUAGCUAGUUGGUGGGGUAAGAGCUUACCAAGGCAUCGAUCAGUAGCUGGUCUGAGAGGAUGAUCAGCCACACUGGGACUGAGACACGGCCCAGACUCCUACGGGAGGCAGCAGUGGGGAAUUUUCCGCAAUGGGCGAAAGCCUGACGGAGCAAUACCGCGUGAGGGAGGAAGGCUUUUGGGUUGUAAACCUCUUUUCUUAAGGAAGAACACAAUGACGGUACUUAAGGAAUAAGCAUCGGCUAACUCCGUGCCAGCAGCCGCGGUAAUACGGAGGAUGCAAGCGUUAUCCGGAAUGAUUGGGCGUAAAGCGUCCGCAGGUGGUUUUGUAAGUCUGUUGUUAAAGCGUGAGGCUCAACCUCAUAAUGGCAGUGGAAACUACAAGACUAGAGUACGUUCGGGGCAGAGGGAAUUCCUGGUGUAGCGGUGAAAUGCGUAGAUAUCAGGAAGAACACCGGUGGCGAAAGCGCUCUGCUAGGCCGUAACUGACACUGAGGGACGAAAGCUAGGGGAGCG